GACGAACGCUGGCGGCGUGCUUAACACAUGCAAGUCGAACGGAAAGGCCCUGCUUUUGUGGGGUGCUCGAGUGGCGAACGGGUGAGUAACACGUGAGUAACCUGCCCUUGACUUUGGGAUAACUUCAGGAAACUGGGGCUAAUACCGGAUAGGAGCUCCUGCUGCAUGGUGGGGGUUGGAAAGUUUCGGCGGUUGGGGAUGGACUCGCGGCUUAUCGGCUUGUUGGUGGGGUAGUGGCUUACCAAGGCUUUGACGGGUAGCCGGCCUGAGAGGGUGACCGGCCCGGUGCGGGAGAGGAGGCCGCCGCUCACGGGGGGGGGGGCCGCAGGGGGGGAGAUGGCACGCUGGACGGCAGGCGGGAGCGACAACGCCGCGGGGGGGAUGACUGCGGGCGGGUCGUACGCCUCCUCCGGUUGUGGGGGAGGGGGAGGGGCGGUAGUGGACACAGGACCGCCGACGAAAUUCGUGCCAGCGGCCGCAGUAAAAAAUCGACGAGCCCCCGUCUGUUC
rnacentral:rRNA from 1 species